UACGUAGGGUGCAAGCGUUGUCCGGAAUUAUUGGGCGUAAAGAGCUCGUAGGCGGUUUGUCGCGUCUGCUGUGAAAACUGGAGGCUCAACCUCCAGCCUGCAGUGGGUACGGGCAAACUAGAGUGCGGUAGGGGGAGAUUGGAAUUCCUGGUGUAGCGGUGGAAUGCGCAGAUAGUCAGGAGGAACACCGAUGGCGAAGGCGGGUCUCUGGGCCGAUACUGACGCUGAGGAGCGAAAGCGUGGGGAGCGAACAGG
rnacentral:rRNA from 1 species